rnacentral:rRNA from 2 species
UAGAGUUUGAUCCAUGGCUCAGGACGAACGCUGGCGGCGUGCCUAAUACAUGCAAGUCGAGCGGACUUGCUGGAGCUUGCUCCAGCAGGUUAGCGGCGGACGGGUGAGUAACACGUGGGCAACCUGCCUGUAAGACUGGGAUAACUCCGGGAAACCGGAGCUAAUACCGGAUAGUAUCUUGAACCGCAUGGUUCAAGUUGGAAAGACGGUUUCGGCUGUCACUUACAGAUGGGCCCGCGGCGCAUUAGCUAGUUGGUGAGGUAAUGGCUCACCAAGGCAACGAUGCGUAGCCGACCUGAGAGGGUGAUCGGCCACACUGGGACUGAGACACGGCCCAGACUCCUACGGGAGGCAGCAGUAGGGAAUCUUCCGCAAUGGACGAAAGUCUGACGGAGCAACGCCGCGUGAGUGAUGAAGGUUUUCGGAUCGUAAAACUCUGUUGUUAGGGAAGAACAAGUGCGAGAGUAACUGCUCGCACC